rnacentral:rRNA from 1 species
AUUGAACGCUGGCGGCAGGCCUAACACAUGCAAGUCGAACGAGUGGCAGACGGGUGAGUAAUGUCUGGGAAACUGCCUGAUGGAGGGGGAUAACUACUGGAAACGGUAGCUAAUACCGCAUUCCAUCAGAUGCGCCCAGAUGGGUUUAGCUUGUUGGUGGGGUAACGGCUCACCAAGGCGACCAGCCCUAGCUGGUCUGAGAGGAGGACCAGCAACACUGGAACGAAGACACGGGCCAGACGCCUACGGGAGGCAGAAGUGGGAAAGAUUGCACAAUGGGCGCAAGCCUGAUGCAGCCAUGCCGCGUGUAUGAAGAAGGCCUUCGGGUUGUAAAGUACUUUCAGCGGGGAGGCGUGACCCUCAGAAGAAGCACCGGCUAACUCCGUGCCAGCAGCCGCGGUAAUAC